rnacentral:rRNA from 1 species
ACUCAAAGGAAUUGACGGGGGCCCGCACAAGCGGUGGAGCAUGUGGUUUAAUUCGAUGCAACGCGAAGAACCUUACCUACCCUUGACAUCCUAGGGAUCUUGCAGAGAUGCGAGAGUGCCGAAAGGAACCUAGAGACAGGUGCUGCAUGGCUGUCGUCAGCUCGUGUUGUGAGAUGUUGGGUUAAGUCCCGUAACGAGCGCAACCCUUAUCCUUAGUUACCAACACGUAAUGGUGGGGACUCUAAGGAGACUGCUGGUGAUGAACCGGAGGAAGGCGGGGACGACGUCAAGUCAUCAUGGCCUUUAUGGGUAGGGCUACACACGUGCUACAAUGGGCAGUACAGAGGGAAGCGAAACCGCGAGGUGGAGCCAAUCCCAGAAAGCUGUUCGUAGUCCGGAUCGAAGUCUGCAACUCGACUUCGUGAAGUCGGAAUCGCUAGUAAUCGCGAAUCAGAAUGUCGCGGUGAAUACGUUCCCGGGCCUUGUACACACCGCCCGU